UUAAGUGACUAAGCGUACAAGGUGGAUGCCUUGGCAAUCAGAGGCGAUGAAGGACGUGCUAAUCUGCGAAAAGCUUGGAUGAGUCGAUAAGAGGCGUUUAAUCCAAGAUGUCCGAAUGGGGAAACCCAGUAGAUGAAGAAUCUACUAUCACUUACUGAAUCCAUAGGUAAGUGAGGCAAACCGGGAGAACUGAAACAUCUAAGUACCCCGAGGAAAAGAAAUCAACCGAGAUUUCGUUAGUAGCGGCGAGCGAACGCGAAGGAGCCUGUUAGUGAUAAUGACAGAGACAGAGGAACAAGCUGGGAAGCUUGGCGAUACAGGGUGAUAGCCCCGUACUCGAAGUCCAGGUCAUGGUACUAAGCUAACGAUAAGUAGGGCGGGACACGUGAUAUCCUGUUUGAAGAUGGGGGGACCAUCCUCCAAGGCUAAAUACUCCUGAUUGACCGAUAGUGAACCAGUACUGUGAAGGAAAGGCGAAAAGAACCCCGGUGAGGGGAGUGAAAUAGAACCUGAAACCUUGUACGUACAAGCAGUGGGAGCCCUUUAAGGGUGACUGCGUACCUUUUGUAUAAUGGGUCAGCGACUUAUAUUUUGUAGCGAGGUUAACCGAAUAGGGGAGCCGAAGGGAAACCGAGUCUUAACUGGGCGUCUAGUUGCAAGGUAUAGACCCGAAACCCGGUGAUCUAGCCAUGGGCAGGUUGAAGGUUGGGUAACACUAACUGGAGGACCGAACCGACUAAUGUUGAAAAAUUAGCGGAUGACUUGUGGCUGGGGGUGAAAGGCCAAUCAAACCGGGAGAUAGCUGGUUCUCCCCGAAAUCUAUUUAGGUAGAGCCUUGAGCGGACACCUUCGGGGGUAGAGCACUGUUUCGGCUAGGGGUCCAUCCCGGAUUACCAACCCGAUGCAAACUACGAAUACCGAAGAGUGAUACUCAGGAGACACACGGCGGGUGCUAACGUCCGUCGUGGAGAGGGAAACAACCCAGACCGCCAGCUAAGGUCCCAAAGUCUAUAUUAAGUGGGAAACGAAGUGGGAAGGCUUAGACAGCUAGGAUGUUGGCUUAGAAGCAGCCAUCAUUUAAAGAAAGCGUAAUAGCUCACUAGUCGAGUCGGCCUGCGCGGAAGAUGUAACGGGGCUCAAAUAUAGCACCGAAGCUGCGGCAUCAGACGAAAGUCUGUUGGGUAGGGGAGCGUUCUGUAAGCGGAUGAAGGUGGUUCGAGAGGGCUGCUGGACGUAUCAGAAGUGCGAAUGCUGACAUAAGUAACGAUAAAACGGGUGAAAAACCCGUUCGCCGGAAGACCAAGGGUUCCUGUCCAACGUUAAUCGGGGCAGGGUGAGUCGGCCCCUAAGGCGAGGCUGAAAAGCGUAGUCGAUGGGAAACGGGUUAAUAUUCCCGUACUUGGAUAAACUGCGAUGUGGGGACGGAGCAGGUUAGGUUAUCGCACUGUUGGAUAUGUGCGUUUAAGUUGGUAGGUGAGAAGUUUAGGCAAAUCCGGACUUCUUUAACACUGAGAGAUGAUGACGAGGCUCUACGGAGCUGAAGUAACCGAUACCACACUUCCAGGAAAAGCCACUAAGCUUCAGGUUUAUCUAAACCGUACUGAAAACCGACACAGGUGGUCAGGUAGAGAAUACUCAGGCGCUUGAGAGAACUCGGGUGAAGGAACUAGGCAAAAUAGCACCGUAACUUCGGGAGAAGGUGCGCCGGCGUAGAUUGUAGUCCCUAGCGGGCGAAGGUUGAACCGGUCGAAGAUACCAGCUGGCUGCAACUGUUUAUUAAAAACACAGCACUCUGCAAACACGAAAGUGGACGUAUAGGGUGUGAUGCCUGCCCGGUGCUGGAAGGUUAAUUGAUGGUGUAAUCGAAAGAGAAGCUCCUGAUCGAAGCCCCAGUAAACGGCGGCCGUAACUAUAACGGUCCUAAGGUAGCGAAAUUCCUUGUCGGGUAAGUUCCGACC
rnacentral:rRNA from 1 species